GGAUACAUACACCAUCUAGUAACAUACUCUUUGCUUUCUCCUCCAUUCUUUUCCAUGUUGGCGUCCACUUAAAUCUUCCACAAAGCCAGCCCUCAGCCUUUUCCUUCUUUUCUCCUGGCCUUUAUUAUUUUCCUAUCCUCUCCCCCUCGAACGUCCGGCACUAUCCUCUGUAUACAAGUUUCGAAAGCAAGUGACGCUUUCGCCCAUUCCAUUCCUUGCACUCCACCCAUGCUCCCCUCGCCCCGUCCAAGUCCAACAAGUGCAGAAGUGCUCGCCACUGCUCCACCACCACCACCGUAUCUCCGUUCUGCAAUGGCGACCGCCACGCCGGCGGGGACGACGGCGAUACCGUUGCCGGAAUACCAGGUGUCCGGCGGGGCGGCCGCGGCCCACCAGCGGGGCUCCGUCGGCCCGUUCGUCGGGGUGCUCGCGGCCGUGCUGCUGCUCACCGCCCUGUCCUGCUUCUUCGGCCGGGUGUGCGCGGCGCACGCGCAGGGGCCUGACGAGUGGUACGACUGCACCAGGCUCGCCGGCCGCCGGCGAUGCUGGUGGUGGCGGGCGCCUCGGCGGCCGGUCAGGCCGGCCGAGGAGGAGGCCAAGCCGCCGCCGGCGAUGCCGUUGCCUGAGCCGUGAAUGAUCGGUCCGCCUCAGUCUCCCGCUCUUCUCUUUGCUGCUGUUUGCAGACUUUCCUACCAUGUUUGUUCAGUGAGAGGAGACGUUCCCACCAACAAUGAGGCGUCUAUGGUGAUUUUGUCAAUCUCAAGAUGUUGUGUUCGACUCGAUAUCUUGGAGGUGCUCAUAGGGAUAGCCUAUGGUGACUUUGCCAAUCUCACGAUGUUGUGUUUGGCUCGGUAUCUUGGAGGUGCUCGCAGGGGCAGCCUAUGGUGACUUCGUCAAUCUUAAGAUGUUGUGUUCAGCUCGGUAUCUUGGAGGUGCUCGUAGGGGUAGCCUAUGGUGACUUCGUCAAUCUCAAGAUGUUGUGUUCGGCUUGAUAUCUUGAAGGUGCUCGUAGGGGUAGCCUAUGGUGACUUCGUAAAUUUCAAGAUGUUGUGUUCGGCUCGGUAUCUUGG